rnacentral:rRNA from 1 species
ACGGGAGGCAGCAGUAGGGAAUUUUGCGCAAUGGGGGGAACCCUGACGCAGCAACGCCGCGUGAUUGAAGAAGCCCUUCGGGGUGUAAAGAUCUGUCAGUGGGGACGAAAGAUGACGGUACCCACAGAGGAAGCACCGGCUAACUCCGUGCCAGCAGCCGCUGUAAUACGGGGGGUGCAAGCGUUGUCCGGAAUCAUUGGGCGUAAAGAGUUCGUAGGUGGUAAGUUAAGUCUGGUGUUAAAUUCUGAAGCUCAACUUCAGUAGAGCACUGGAUACUGGCGAACUAGAAUGCGGUAGAGGUAAAGGGAAUUCCUGGUGUAGCGGUGAAAUGCGUAGAUAUCAGGGGGAACAUCGGUGGCGUAAGCGCUUUACUGGGCCGUAAUUGACACUGAGGAACGAAAGCCGGGGUAGCAAAUAGGAUUAGAUACCCUGGUA